rnacentral:misc_RNA from 1 species
AACAAGGCGUACCUGCGGACCUGCGGAAGGAUCAUUACCGAGUUUACAACUCCCAAACCCCUGUGAACAUACCUAUACGUUGCCUCGGCGGAUCAGCCCGCGCCCUGUAAAACGGGACGGCCCGCCCGAGGACCCUAAACUCUGUUUUUAGUGGAACUUCUGAGUAAAACAAACAAAUAAAUCAAAACUUUUAGCAACGGAUCU